rnacentral:ncRNA from 1 species
GAAAGCCGUAUACGGGAAAGCCGUAUGUGCGGUUUGAAUGAGGGGACGGUGGCUUAAGUGCCACCUCCUACUCUAC